AUUUGCUAGUUGAAAAACAGUAAACAUUGACAGUCAUUUGACUGUUCAUUUCACUGUCAGUAGUGACAGUACUAACUUCUUAUUUCAUUGUAACUUACUAUUUCAUUCUAACAUAUGUAAAUUUAUAGUAAGCAUUAUAAGUCGCAGGUGUCUCUUUUUAGCAAAAAGAGUGGGGGUCAGUUAAAAGGCAAACUGUACGUCACGACUGACAUAAAGAAUGUGAGUGUAUUGGUGAACCCAUCAGCAGUUUCUUUUAGGGUAUGCCGUAAACGUAUAUGUAUCCGAACUACAACGCCUAUUUUCAUAUCUCACUUACCUCGAGUGUGUGCUAAUAAAAGGUCCAAAAAGAAUAUCUAUCAAAAAGGUUAUCCUUUGGCGGCACCGAAGUUAUAAUAAAUUUCACAAAUAAAAUAAAAAAUCUUUAUCUUGUUGUUCAUCGGUCAGUUCGUAUGGCAGCGAUACGCUAUAGUGGUCCGAUAUCGGAGGUUUCGACAAAUGAGCAGCUUCUUAGAACGAAAAGGACGCGAUCAAAAAUCGAUAUCGAUAUCUAAAAACUGAGGGAAAAAUCUGCGUAUAUACAGACAGAUAGAGAUGGGCAUGGCUAAAUCGAUUCAGCUCAGUUGAUCAUUUAUAUACCAUAUAUAUUUGGUAGCAUUUCCGACGCUUUCUUCUGGGUGUUACGAACUUUGUAACAAAUUUAAUAUAGCUUAUAAAAAUAGAAACAGCGGUCACCCAUUCCUGAACGAUAAGUAUUAUUUAAAAAAAAAAAAUUGUGUAAUUUUUAAGUAAUAAUGUAAGCAGCUAGAUAAAUCGUUAUAUCUGUAAUGCUUCGAUGCAGGAUCAAAAAUAUUCGUUAAACCGAAAAAAUUGUCAUAUUAAAGGAUUCCUAACUAUAUUCACUUUAAAAUGUUUGGUCAAAGAAAUUAUUAAUUUCAACAGGCUAACCGGUUUGCUACAAAUUUUGCCACCACGCUCAGAGCCUGGAAUCGUGACAAUUGGGGAAUGAGGGCCUAUUGAACAUUUAAAAUAAUUUAUUAGAUGACGAGACGAGUUGAAUUCGUGCUUAUCUCCAUUGGCAUCUUGCCUUGCGUCGCAAGCGUUGGUCGACGACUCGCUCCUGUGCGACUGCAAGAUUCUUUAGGCCUAAUGUAGAACAUAGGAGAUUUGCUAAACUACUUGCCCUUAGCAAAUUUCGUCUUGCCACAAUCGUCGGGAUUCUUACAAGACAUUGUCCAAUUGCCGUUCAUGAGCCUUUGCAAGACUGAGGUUGAAACAUUUUGGCAUUCUUACCUUCAGCGAACCAGAAGCUAUAGCGAAAACUGACAUUAACCGUCUCAACAAAUUUGUGAUAGGCUUAAAGCGCUUCGUCGAUUUAUGACAGUCUUAUGAUCUAUUAUAUAUAAGUUUUAAGUAGCACCACAGACCGGCAUUCUCAGCUGUCCGAGUGAAAUCUCUGUUAUGAUUCAUGGCAUAACCUAACGUAACCUGGUGACUAUUUGUCUGUUCGUCUUUGCAAGCGAUAACUUCAAUAUUAAGUUGAUAUUGUUAAUGGGCGGAAUCGGGUCACUGCUACGCUCAAAAAUGUUCUUAAGUGAAAAUGGAAUAAAUAGAAAAACCAAUAUCUUCAUCGACUUUAGCUAAUUUCUUGUGGAGAAGUAUGCAUUUCAGUCUGCAAUAGAAAUUACUUUCAUCGUCAUAAACACCGAAUUAAUUUACUUACAUUUAUUAACCUCCUAUUUGAUAUUUAUUCGUAAUAAAUUUAUAAUUAGUUGCAACAUUACCUAGAAAUAAUAAAUCAAUCUUUUGUCUAGCCAUUUGCCCAAUUGAGCUCAUAUCCGUUAGCACAAAGCAAUUUCCGUCAGCGAACUGCCAUUUCCCUUAAAUUCACAAAUUUACAAACGAACAGCGAAAAGUUGGUGCUCGCAUGAAUACUACGAUAGGCAGCACUACGACUAGGUGUAGCCCUCGUCCAACUCUGCCUACCAGUGCUGCUCUCCUAGUGCCAUUUGAGCGCCAUUGAGUAAAGCUGUACACAAAAAAUCACGCUCCAUCUGUGAAGAUAACAAGCGUUUGAAAUGUCUGCCGAUAUUUAUAGAAAGCAUCACUUUUGCUGCCGAAUCUGCGACAUGUGCUUCCAGAGAAAGCACAAAAUGCACUAACAUACCGAAAGCAAAUAAGCUGCAUACUGUUGAAUCUGAAGAUUUUCCGUAGUGCAUCUUGGAAGAACUACACGACCUCCAAUGCAAAAAGGCGAAAUGCGAAAUCAAGCAGACAUCAUAAGUCGUCCGCCCCAGCUUCUGUUAGCCGACACACAAUUGUGUAAUUCAACCUAAAGGGAAACAUAUUAGCAUCUGUAUGAGUCAGCUACCCAGCCAACCACAUGACUACGUUUUGUUGGUACUCCCUCUUGUAAGCUUUGUUUACCGGGGUAGCGGCACAGUUUCCCAAUUGGAAGCGAAAUGCUUGUACCGGCGAAGCAUACAAAGCCAUAACAUCUCCUACUUGGAUCCCGAUGUUGCUAAGCUCGUUCCCCACUAAGGCCGCGUGGGCGUAUACCGGCCACAUGGGAAAUCCCCAACUGGUAUUUUCAAUAGGCAAUCAGCCGGCAUCGCAAGCAAAGCAAGCCACCAGCGUCAAUCACAACAAAAGGGGCCGGGACCUAAACGUCGUCCGUGUGGAGAAAUACAAUAACAAUGUGCCGCCAGCGAAUGCAAUGGCAUGAAUGAAUGAAUGUCGGUGGAGUGGAAGACCAACAAAAACAUAUUGAAAAAAAUGCUUUCGAAGCGAAACAGAAAAAAUCCUAAAAUUGUAUGCGCAAACAAUGUGAAAGAUGGCGGUAAACAGAGAGCAAAGUGAAGUGAGAACUCCAGCCAACAGCCAAGUGUCGGUUGCUGCUAGCGUUUGUGGUUGCGCUGUGGCGCUGUGGCGCAGGGGAAGCAAUGGCUGUUGACGCAGGGGAGCAACCCAAAAGUGCAUGAAGGCCGCAUAUAGGAAUGGAAUGAGGGAAUGAAAACGAGCAUAAGUAUAUGAUUCUGCAUGGAAAUAAACACAUAUGUAGAAAUAUACGAAAGGCUGUUUUAUCUGGAAAGAGGUGUGAGGAGGCACGAACUGCGGGUGCUUGAGUGGUUCUUGGUCUUCAUGCUGGAACUGCAAUUUUAGAAUUAAUGGACUUUUGAACUGAAAAGUAUGGUUAUUCAUAUUAGAAUUAUAGUGGAAAUGACUUGAAAUGGAAAUAUGAUCGCUAAAUUUUCACGAGGGGCCGAGACGCAGC